rnacentral:rRNA from 1 species
GAUGAACGCUGGCGGCGUGCCUAAUACAUGCAAGUCGAGCGAACAGACCAGGAGCUUGCUCCUCCGACGUUAUCGGCGGUCGGGAGCGUAACACGUGGAUAACCUAACUAUAAGACUGGGAUACCUUCGGGAAACCGGAGCUAAUACCGGAUAAUAUAUUGCACCGCAUGGUUCAAUAGUGAAAGUAGGUUUUUCUGUCACUUAUAGAUGGAUAAGCGCCGCAUUAGCUAGUUGGUAAGGUAACGGCUUACCAAGGCUACGAUGCGUAGCCGACCUGAAGGGGUGGUCGGCUACACUGGAACUGAGACACGGUCCAGACUCCGACGGUGAGCAACAGUAGGGAAUCUUCCGCGAUGGGGGAGAGCUUGACGGAGCAACGCCGCGUGAAUGAUGAAGGUCUUCUGAUCGGAAAAUUCUGUUAGUAGGGAAGAACAAAUGUGUUAGUAACUAGGAUCGUCUUGACGGUACCGGAUCAGAAAGCUACGGCUAACUACGUG